rnacentral:rRNA from 1 species
AUUGAACGCUGGCGGCAUGCUUUACACAUGCAAGUCGAACGGUAACAGGCCGCAAGGUGCUGACGAGUGGCGAACGGGUGAGUAAUGCAUCGGAACGUGCCCAGUCGUGGGGGAUAACUACUCGAAAGAGUAGCUAAUACCGCAUACGAUCUAUGGAUGAAAGCGGGGGACCGUAAGGCCUCGCGCGAUUGGAGCGGCCGAUGUCAGAUUAGGUAGUUGGUGGGGUAAAGGCUCACCGAGCCAACGAUCUGUAGCUGGUCUGAGAGGACGACCAGCCACACUGGGACUGAGACACGGCCCAGACUCCUACGGGAGGCAGCAGUGGGGAAUUUUGGACAAUGGGCGCAAGCCUGAUCCAGCAAUGCCGCGUGCAGGAAGAAGGCCUUCGGGUUGUAAACUGCUUUUGUACGGAACGAAACGGCUCUGGUUAAUACCCGGGGCUAAUGACGGUACCGUAAGAAUAAGCACCGGCUAACUACGUG